UUUUUAUGUCAAAACCAGUAUCAAUUUACAUGUUUAUUUUCAAAUUAGGAAGUACAAAAUUGAAAACAAAUUACAGCCAUUUCAUAAGAUCUUCUAUACGGACGAUAUUUAAGAAAUUUAAAGAAAAUGAAUUAGCCUGCGGACUACUCCACCACGAAAUGCAACAUAUAUAUGGUAUAUUGUAUCAGUAACGUGAAGUCCAAUGUCCCCCUCAUAUUCCCAAUUGGCUUUGCACCUCCAGGAGGGUCUUAGCCGAGUCCCUGAGUCGCUGUGCCUCUUCCUCCGUCAAAUGUACAUUGGUGACUCCCAACACUCCGCCUCUGCCCAACUGUGCUGGCAAGCUCAAGAACACAUCCCCACCGUCAAUGCCAUAGAAGCCUUUUGCAAGGACUGAAACAGGGUGGAUUUUUCUCUGAUCUCUAAGUAUGGAGCGAGCCAAGUUAGCCGCAGAAUAGCCAAUUGCCCAAGAAGUGUAGCCCUUGAGACUAAUAACUUCGUAUGCACUGUCCACAACUGCUUUGUGAAUGUUCUCCAGUGUCUCCUUCUCGUAGGCGAUUUCCUGCUUCUCUAAGAAGCUCAAUAUUGGCACUCCACCAACACUUAUGCUCGACCAUAAUGCCACUGAACUAUCACCGUGUUCACCAAC
rnacentral:misc_RNA from 1 species